AAAAAGUUAGUUAAAUUAACAUUAGUAUGUCAAACUAAAAUUAUUAGUUUAAAUCUAAUACUUUUUA
rnacentral:tRNA from 1 species